CCACCUGCUCCAUUUAUUGGUUUGUGGUGUAGGAGAGUCGGGGGGUCCCCAGCCAGACUGUGCUCCACUGUGAAGCAGAGACCAGCCCAUGUCCCCCAGCAUCCCCGUGGCCAGUCACAGGCCUCCCAGGUCCCAUGUCCGAGGGGCUCAGGUGCAGCCAUCCUUGUUUCCCAGCAUGGCCAUCAGUUUAGGGCCAGGUUCCUCUCUCUGAUCCCCAGUGUGAAUGAGGUGGGCGGGGGGGGCCUCCUCCCCACAUCCUCCAGGCCCUGUGUGUAUGAGGGCUGAAGGCCGGAUGCUGUCGCUGAGUCAGCAUCAGUCCACAGGGCGCCUGUGAGGGGCUGGCAGGGGUCCCCCUAAGAAGCAAACCCUCCUCUGGGGAUGCCUGUCCUAUCAAGUGUUUGUCAGGCCAGCGGCUGUGAUAAAAUCAUUAUGCGCAGAAUUGCGUUACGUCCUUACAACACCCUGUGGGGUGUGUCAGCAUCGCCAUCAUCGCUGUCACCUUCAUUUAAUACAAGAGGAACAUGAGACACAGGAAGGGCAAGGAGCCUGUCCAGGCCACAGAGGGGGUCAAGACAAGCCAGGAUGCAGCCCCCACAGGCCACGCCAUCGUCUGUGCUCCAAACCCCAAUGAGGCUCCAGUGAUGACACACAGCCACCCUAACCUCACCUGUCCCAGUCACAGGAGCCACAGGAUGCAUGCAAGCUCAGAUGCUAGUGCCCUGGGUCAAGUCCCUGGCCAUCCCUGAGCCCUUGGCUUCUCAUCACUACUACGGGGUUUGGGGGGUUCCCAUCACGGCACAGCAGAAACAAAUCAGACUAGGAACCGUGAGGUUGCGAGUUCAAUCCCUGGCCUCGUUCAGGGGGUUAAGGAUCUGGCAUUGCUGUGAGCUAUGGUGUAGGUCGUAGACGCAGCUUAGAUCCUGCACUGCUGUGGCUGUGGUGUAGGCCAGCAGCAGGAGCUCCGAUUAGACCCUGAGCCUGGAACUUCCAUAUGCCACAGGUGUGGCCCUAAAAAGGAAAAAAAAAAAAAACAAAAAAAACUACAGGGUUUGCAGGGGAGAAGCUACCUCACAGGGUAACUGGAAGAAUAAAUGCGCUAGUGUAACAGGCUCAGACUAGUGCCUGGUCAGAUACACUCAGCAGAGGUGAGCCUGUGUCACUAUGAUGAAUAACGUGGGUCUUCCAAUGUCCCAGGUCUCUCCCUGACCUGCAGUCUCCUCUCCAGGGGAGUCCCUGUCUUGACCGCCAAUAUCCGCUCUUUUGAACGUCUCCCUCCGGCUCAUUCUGCCACCAUCUCCUUUCCUCCUCCUCCCACUCCCGACAUGCCACUGAAUUUGUUUAAUUCAUUUGAAUGCUGGGGCCCCAGAUCGCUGACUGUGACAGAUGGAGGGGGAGAGGGUGCGGGUGGAGGUGCAGAACGGAGGCGCUUGUGUAAUAGCACAUAAAUAAACUUACACAUGCUUCUCUUUUUUACUUGCAGAUUUUAGCCCCAUCUUUGCUUUGUCAUCACUUGAAUCGGCGGGAGGAUGUUUUAUUCAUGCCUACCUCCCCAGCAGGCAGCACAGGAGGCACCCAGGGUGUCCCGCUCCCUUCCUUGAGGGCUGGUGUGUUUACGGUGCCAUUUAUUGUCAGCGCCUCACACACUCUGAUACCAUCUUAAUGUCCCCACGCCUGGCAGAUACCAGGCACUCUGGUGUCUGGCUAGCAAGGAGCAGCGUUCAGUUUCUACCCUCUUGAUGCGCACACCAUUUUAAAUGCCCAACUCGGUCUUGAUGGCUGGUUACUGUCCCCCCCCCCAGCACACAAACACCUUACUUCUGGCCUCACUCCAGCAUUGAGGAAGGGGCUGUCAGCACAAACUUCCA
rnacentral:lncRNA from 1 species